AAGGAAAAAAAAAAGUCUCCGCGCCCCGCGCGCGCGCCGGCGCUCCGAGAGGCAACGGCGGGAGAAUUGUGCGUGGCGGGGCCGCUGCCCGGGAGCGGGUCCACGCCGCGGGGGGAGGGGGCGCGACCCCGGGCGGAGGGUCCCCAGAAGCGCAGCGCCCCGCCGGGGAGUGCAUUCAGGGGGUGGAUGCCAAGCGCGGCGGCGGGUUUUUUUGGCUUUUUUUUUUUUUUCAAAACAAAUCAAGACAUUGGAGGCAAAUGCUACUUAAGGAUGAACUUUUAUCGGGCUCCUUUUGGCGUCUCCUGAAAUUCCGGCUUCUAAUGCGGGAGACGCUGCACGUCAAACAGGCGAUCGCUUUCCCACCCCCUGGGAAAUUGACAGCAGGCGCUGCACCCGGCUCCAGAGCCCGGUGUUGGGACUUGGAGUCCGGGCGAGGGUGGUUUGAGGGUGUUGUUUUGCGGCUCCAGGGAUCUAACCCGGGGCCUUGCUCGUCCUGCAAGGCAAGUGCAUGCUAUGCUUUAAACUGCAUACAUUCCCUGAAGCGGGGCUUCUUGUUGUUUUAAUCUGAAAUUUACCUACCAGUAUUUCACUUUUGUUGUAAUUAAUUAAGGGAAGGGAAUAAUUAACAUCGGAUACUAAUCCGGGGUUGGGGGCAAAGCUAAAAACCUAGUUUUGAAACGGUAAAGCCAAAAAAUAAAAUAAAUAAAAUUGUAAAGUCCGUUCUUGAGAUGUAGCUCAUUUUAGUUUUGCAACCCAGAGAAAAUGCUGUUUGAACAUACAUAUGGGUUCACACUUAUUUUGUUCAUAAUUAUAAAGUUGAGUCACAUAAAGAUCUUUAGUACCCUGCCAAAUAGAAAAAAAAAAGGGAGUUGUGGAAGGAAAAUUAUCAGAAGACAUUUAGAAGGACGUGAUAGAUUAACAUUCGAAAUCUGUCACCCAAAGGAAAUGAGUAUUCAGCAGGCUCUCUGCAGAGGAGUAUUUUAAACAUCAGAAACGGGAGUGAAGCCUCAAAAACCAGAUUAUGAGGUGAAGUGAGGAAUGAACUAGAGGAAAGAGUUGUCAUCUAUUCUCUAGAGACCUGGCAACGAGAGGAGGAGAAAGGCAAAGUUGGAGCAAUUCAGAUGGUGGGGCACUCCUGGUUCUGUGCUUGAAGACUGCUCAAGGAAGUAUGUGAUGCCAGGGGUUGAACUGGGGUCAUCAACAUCUAAGGCUUAACCUUAACCCCUAAGCUAUCUCUGGAACCAAGAGAGGAAGUGUUAUAAACUAUUACUUCUGAUUCAAGGAAGGGCAUUUUUUCCUUCUGAAACUUAAGACCAGAUUUCUCUUUAUCAUCAUCUAAUAAAUUAAUGUGAGUGAA